GAACGGGACGUCAUGGAGGGUGAGAAUCCCGUAUGUGACUGGUGGCCUGUGCCUGUGUGAAGCUCCUUCGACGAGUCGAGUUGUUUGGGAAUGCAGCUCUAAAUGGGUGGUAAAUUUCAUCUAAAGCUAAAUACUGGCCAGAGACCGAUAGCGCACAAGUAGAGUGAUCGAAAGAUGAAAAGCACUUUGGAAAGAGAGUUAAACAGUACGUGAAAUUGUUGAAAGGGAAGCGCUUGCAAUCAGACUUGCGCGGUGUUGAUCAGCCUGGGUUCUCCCAGGUGCACUCAGCGCCGCUCAGGCCAGCAUCAGUUUCGGCGGCGGGAUAAAGGCCUGGGGAACGUAGGUCGCUUCGGCGACUGUUAUAGCCCCAGGCGCCAUGCCGCCUGCUGGGACUGAGGACCGCGCUUUGGCUAGGAUGCUGGCGUAAUGGUUGUAAGCGACCCGUCUUGAAACACGGACCAAGGAGUCGAACAAUGGUGCGAGUGUCUGGGUGCCAAACCCCUGCGCGUAAUGAAAGUGAACGGAGGUGAGAACCCUCAAGGGUGCAUCAUCGACCGAUCCUGAAGUCUACGGAUGGAUUUGAGUAAGAGCAUCACUGUUCGGACCCGAAAAUUGAUGAACUAUUCGUGACUAGGGUGAAGCCAGAGGAAACUCUGGUGGAGGCUCGCAGAGG
rnacentral:rRNA from 1 species